UACGGAGGAUGCGAGCGUUAUCCGGAUUUAUUGGGUUUAAAGGGUGCGUAGGCGGUCUGAUAAGUCAGUGGUGAAAGUUUUCAGCUUAACUGGAAAAAUGCCGUUGAUACUGUCAGGCUAGAAUAUGGUUGCUGUGAGUGGAAUGUGUGGUGUAGCGGUGAAAUGCUUAGAUAUCACACAGAAUAUCGAUUGCGAAGGCAGCUCACAAAGCCAUUAUUGACGCUGAGGCACGAAAGUGUGGGGAUCAAAC
rnacentral:rRNA from 2 species